UACGAAGGGGGCUAGCGUUGUUCGGAAUUACUGGGCGUAAAGCGCGCGUAGGUGGUCAUGUAAGUCCGCUGUGAAAGUCAAAGGCUCAACCUUUGAAAGCCGGUGGAUACUGCAUGACUAGAGUACGGAAGAGGCGAGUGGAAUUCCUGGUGUAGCGGUGGAAUGCGCAGAUAUCAGGAGGAACAUCAAUAGCGAAGGCAGCUCGCUGGGACGUUACUGACACUGAGGCGCGAAAGCGUGGGGAGCGAACAGG
rnacentral:rRNA from 1 species